GCUUAACUCUGGAGGUGCUGCUGUGUUUGGAGCAUUUAAACCCAGAGGCAGGGGCGACGCAGAAAAAAAAAAGGCAUCAGAGUUGUCGGGGAGCAGGUAGGGAAUGGUGAAAAGAGGCAACACUGAUUGAGAAGAUGUCAUGUGCCAGGCACUGUGCAAAUGAUUAUGUAUGCAUUUUCUCAUUCAAGCUUUGUAACUUAUUCAUAGGCCAGCCCUCAGUGGAAAGCGUUAACCCAUGUGCCCAUGUAUUGAAGGUCAAAAGACACAUGCCAACUACAUUUGGCAUUUUUGUUGGGGUCACAGUGGAUAUUGUUUAUUAACUGUGUGUGUUUCCCAAUGGUCUUUGUGGUGGAAAUGGCCCACUGAUACAAAUGCAAGAGCCAAUGGGCCAUGUGUCUGGGUAGGGCUUCCAGGAAUCUAUUGUUUGAAGCUCUUUGAAUGAUGAUGAUGUGAAACUUAGAAGAACCAUUUUAUGAUCAAAAGGGUGGGCCGGGCGUGGUGGCUUACGCCUGUAAUCCCAGCACUUUGGGAGGCUGAGGCGGGCAGAUUACCUGAGGUCAGGAGUUUGAGAGCAGCCUGGUCAACAUGGUGAAACCCCGUCUUUACUAAAAAUACAAAGAUUAGCCAGGCAUGGUGGUGUGUGCUUGUAAUUCCAGCUAUUUGGGAAGCUGAGACAGGAGAAUCGCUUGAACCCAGGAGGUAGAGGUUGCAGUGAGCCGAGACCACGCCACUGCACUCCAACCUCGGCAACAAGAGUGAAACUCUGUCUCAAAAAACAAACAAAAAAAAAAAAGUGGGGUGAAAAAUGGCAAAACACACAGAAGAGGCUGAAAUAUGGAUAGCACCAUGGAUACGUUCCCUCACCCCAAUCUGCCUGUGCUGGGCUCCUUGUCACCAUGAAAAAAUAAACCCUUCCUUGUUAUGCUGGACACUCUAAGGUGGCCCCCAUGAUCCCCACCUGCUGGUGGUCAUGUCUGUAUGUGCUCCACUCCCCUUGAAUAUGGGUAGGGCCUGUGACUUGCUUCUAACCAGUGUGGCAAAGGGGACGGAAUGUGACUCUGCUGCUUAUGUCAUGUUAUGCAAAGCUUCUUCUUAGCAGGCUUACUCUCGAGAUUCUCCCUGCUGACCUGAUGAAGUAAGCAGCCUUGUCGGGAAAGCCUACAUGGCAAGGAACUGCAAAUGGCCUCUAGGAACUGUGAGUGGCCUUUAGGAGCUGAAGUUGGCCUCCAAUCAGCAAGAAGCCAGGGCACUUAGUCCUACUGCAGCAAGGAAAUACAUUCUGCCAACCAUCUGAAUGAGCUUGGAAGUGGAUUCUUCCCAAGCCAAGCCUCCAUAUAAGAAUGCAGCCCACCUGACACAUUCAUAACAGCUGAGCAGAGGACCCAAUUAAACCGUGCCUGGACUCUUCAUCCACAGAAACUUCGAGAUAAUCAAUGCAUGUUGCGUUAAGCCAUGACGUUUGUGAUAAUUCGUUAUGCAGCAAUAAAU
rnacentral:lncRNA from 1 species